rnacentral:rRNA from 1 species
CCUACGGGAGGCAGCAGUGAGGAAUAUUGGUCAAUGGACGAGAGUCUGAACCAGCCAAGUAGCGUGAAGGAUGACUGCCCUAUGGGUUGUAAACUUCUUUUAUACAGGAAUAAAACGAGGCACGUGUGCCUUUUUGCAUGUACUUUAUGAAUAAGGAUCGGCUAACUCCGUGCCAGCAGCCGCGGUAAUACGGAGGAUCCGAGCGUUAUCCGGAUUUAUUGGGUUUAAAGGGAGCGUAGAUGGGUUGUUAAGUCAGUUGUGAAAGUUUGCGGCUCAACCGUAAAAUUGCAAUUGAUACUGGAAGUCUUGAGUACAGAUGAGGUAGGCGGAAUAAGUGGUGUAGCGGUGAAAUGCUUAGAUAUCACGAAGAACCCCGAUUGCGAAGGCAGCUUACUAAACUGUGACUGACAUUGAUGCUCGAAAGUGUGGGUAUCAAACAGGAUUAGAUACCCGAGUAGUC